AUUGAACGCUGGCGGCAGGCCUAACACAUGCAAGUCGAGCGGAGGAAGGGAGCUUGCUCCUGGAUUCAGCGGCGGACGGGUGAGUAAUGCCUAGGAAUCUGCCUGGUAGUGGGGGAUAACGUCCGGAAACGGGCGCUAAUACCGCAUACGGCCUGAGGGAGAAAGUGGGGGAUCUUCGGACCUCACGCUAUCAUAUGAGCCUAGGUCGGAUUAGCUAGUUGGUGGGGUAAAGGCCUACCAAGGCGACGAUCCGUAACUGGUCUGAGAGGAUGAUCAGUCACACUGGAACUGAGACACGGUCCAGACUCCUACGGGAGGCAGCAGUGGGGAAUAUUGGACAAUGGGCGAAAGCCUGAUCCAGCCAUGCCGCGUGUGUGAAGAAGGUCUUCGGAUUGUAAAGCACUUUAAGUUGGGAGGAAGGGCAGUAAGUUAAUACCUUGCUGUUUUGACGUUACCAACAGAAUAAGCACCGGCUAACUUCGUG
rnacentral:rRNA from 1 species